rnacentral:rRNA from 1 species
UACAGAGGGGGCAAGCGUUGUUCGGAAUUACUGGGCGUAAAGGGCGCGUAGGCGGCCUGUUAAGUCGAACGUGAAAUCCCCGGGCUCAACCCGGGAACUGCGUCCGAUACUGGCAGGCUUGAAUCCGGGAGAGGGAUGCGGAAUUCCAGGUGUAGCGGUGAAAUGCGUAGAGAUCCGGAGGAACACCGAAGGCGAAGGCAGUGUCCUGGCGCGUAACUGACGCUGAGGUGCGAAAGCCAGGGGAGCGAACGGG